rnacentral:lncRNA from 1 species
GUAUUUCCGCGGGCGCUGAGCACUAGAGAGAGCGUCUUGUGGCUGCGGCCUGCCCCUCAGCCUCCUCCGCGCGGUUACCCCUGUACCCGCCGCCAUCCGUCCUGGCGCUCCGGAUGAGUCAAUGAGGGGCAGGGCCCGAGGAGUGGUCUUCCCAAGAACCCCUGGUGGCCUCCCAAGGCCGGUGCUGUGUACCUCCUCCCCGACAAAAGGGGAAACUGAGGCCCCGAGGGGAGUGGGAAGAGCCGGCUGGACGUCAGGCCCAGCCGCUGGUGCAGUGGUCCGUCCCCUCUGCCGGGGUGGGCCCCUCGGGUUUCGCGUGUCCUCGGGAAAGAGACUGGCGGGCCUCGUGGGCUGUGCGGCUAUCCUGGAGACAGAUGACAGCUCUCCCUUGGAUGGCUUUGCUGGUUCCGCACCAGCCAGCGCCCCCAUUUUUCCUGCAGCACCCUGAUCUGCACUCCCUGAGGGGCUCCCACUGUCCGCGGUGUGAGGAUGUCCCUGGAAAUUGGUCUUCUGUGACUUUCUUGAUGGGGGCAGAUGAGAUCUUUGUACUGCAUUAAGUGGAUAGCGCUCAGGUCCUUUGGGCUUGGCGCUUUGGCAAUCUCCAGGCAGCUCACUUUGGCCUCUGUUCCUGGAUCCCCUUUGCUCUUUUCUGCGCCUGCAUUCAUAGUCCACUGUGUGCAGAGGCAUGGGAGUUGUCAUGUUGGGAACAUGCUAGACCUCAGUAUCCUUGAGGGAUGCUGCCUUGGGUCUGGAAACUGUUAGAGGAAACCCCAAGAGGUGCAGGCACUGAGCCUCUCAGGACAAUGACCUGGGGUCCCAGCUCCCCUGGAGGGGCCUCCUCAUGAUUGUUUGGGGGUUGAUCACAGACCAAGAGUGACGAGUGAUGUCACCCUGUGACUCAUGGCUGGACCUUCUUGCCCCUAUUGUCUCAGCACAACAUUAUUCGACUUUUCCCUCAGCGUGGGUGGGCAGAGGAAAAGCCCUGUGGCUCUGGGGACUUGGGAUCCAGAGUUGAAGACCCUUCAGCUGGCUCUGCCCUGCCAGUGCCACAGAGUGCCAUGGCCCAGGAAGACAGGUUUUCUUCCAUCUAGGCCAGGCCAUCCAGUGGCCAUCCUCCGUGUCCUCCCGCCUCCUCCUGGUGUGACUUCUGAAAACCAAGAAUUUGUUCCUGUUGACUUUUUCUGUGCUAUGGACCAUUGUCCUCUCACCCACUCAAUAAAUCUUGAAACAUGCC